rnacentral:rRNA from 1 species
GACGAACGCUGGCGGCGUGCCUAAUACAUGCAAGUUGAGCGCUGAAGGUUGGUACUUGUACCGACUGGAUGAGCAGCGAACGGGUGAGUAACGCGUGGGGAAUCUGCCUUUGAGCGGGGGACAACAUUUGGAAACGAAUGCUAAUACCGCAUAAAAACUUUAAACACAAGUUUUAAGUUUGAAAGAUGCAAUUGCAUCACUCAAUGAUGAUCCCGCGUUGUAUUAGCUAGUUGGUGAGGUAAAGGCUCACCAAGGCGAUGAUACAUAGCCGACCUGAGAGGGUGAUCGGCCACAUUGGGACUGGGACACGGCCCAAACGCCUACGGGAGGCAGCAGUAGGGAAUCUUCGGCAAUGGACGAAAGUCUGACCGAGCAACGCCGCGUGAGUGAAGAAGGUUUUCGGAUCGUAAAACUCUGUUGGUAGGGAAGAACGUUGGUGAGAGUGGAAAGCUCAUCAAGUGACGGUAACUACCCAGAAAGGGACGGCUAACUACGUG